UGACUGCGUACCUUUUGUAUAAUGGGUCAGCGACUUAUAUUCUGUAGCAAGGUUAACCGAAUAGGGGAGCCGGAGGGAAACCGAGUCUUAACCGGGCGUUAAGUUGCAGGGUAUAGACCCGAAACCCGGUGAUCUAGCCAUGGGCAGGUUGAAGGUUGGGUAACACUAACUGGAGGACCGAACCGACUAAUGUUGAAAAAUUAGCGGAUGACCUGUGGCUGGGGGUGAAAGGCCAAUCAAACCGGGAGAUAGCUGGUUCUCCCCGAAAGCUAUUUAGGUAGCGCCUCGUGAACUCAUCUCCGGGGGUAGAGCACUGUUUCGGCUAGGGGGCCAUCCCGGCUUACCAACCCGAUGCAAACUGCGAAUACCGGAGAAUGUUAUCACGGGAGACACACGGCGGGUGCUAACGUCCGUCGUGAAGAGGGAAACAACCCAGACCGCCAGCUAAGGUCCCAAAGUCAUGGUUAAGUGGGAAACGAUGUGGGAAGGCCCAGACAGCCAGGAUGUUGGCUUAGAAGCAGCCAUCAUUUAAAGAAAGCGUAAUAGCUCACUGGUCGAGUCGGCCUGCGCGGAAGAUGUAACGGGGCUAAACCAUGCACCGAAGCUGCGGCAGCGACACUCAGGUGUUGUUGGGUAGGGGAGCGUUCUGUAAGCCUGCGAAGGUGGCCUGUGAGGGUUGCUGGAGGUAUCAGAAGUGCGAAUGCUGACAUAAGUAACGAUAAAGCGGGUGAAAAGCCCGCUCGCCGGAAGACCAAGGGUUCCUGUCCAACGUUAAUCGGGGCAGGGUGAGUCGACCCCUAAGGCGAGGCCGAAAGGCGUAGUCGAUGGGAAACGGGUUAAUAUUCCCGUACUUGGUGUUACUGCGAAGGGGGGACGGAGAAGGCUAUGUUGGCCGGGCGACGGUUGUCCCGGUUUAAGCGUGUAGGUGUGUGUUCCAGGUAAAUCCGGUUCACUUUAACACUGAGGCGUGAUGACGAGGCACUACGGUGCUGAAGCAACAAAUGCCCUGCUUCCAGGAAAAGCCUCUAAGCAUCAGGUAACAUCAAAUCGUACCCCAAACCGACACAGGUGGUCAGGUAGAGAAUACCAAGGCGCUUGAGAGAACUCGGGUGAAGGAACUAGGCAAAAUGGUGCCGUAACUUCGGGAGAAGGCACGCUGACACGUAGGUGAAGUGAUUUACUCAUGGAGCUGAAGUCAGUCGAAGAUACCAGCUGGCUGCAACUGUUUAUUAAAAACACAGCACUGUGCAAACACGAAAGUGGACGUAUACGGUGUGACGCCUGCCCGGUGCCGGAAGGUUAAUUGAUGGGGUCAGCGCAAGCGAAGCUCCUGAUCGAAGCCCCGGUAAACGGCGGCCGUAACUAUAACGGUCCUAAGGUAGCGAAAUUCCUUGUCGGGUAAGUUCCGACCUGCACGAAUGGCGUAAUGAUGGCCAGGCUGUCUCCACCCGAGACUCAGUGAAAUUGAACUCGCUGUGAAGAUGCAGUGUACCCGCGGCAAGACGGAAAGACCCCGUGAACCUUUACUAUAGCUUGACACUGAACAUUGAGCCUUGAUGUGUAGGAUAGGUGGGAGGCUUUGAAGUGUGGACGCCAGUCUGCAUGGAGCCGGCCUUGAAAUACCACCCUUUAAUGUUUGAUGUUCUAACGUGGACCCGUGAUCCGGGUUGCGGACAGUGUCUGGUGGGUAGUUUGACUGGGGCGGUCUCCUCCUAAAGAGUAACGGAGGAGCACGAAGGUUGGCUAAUCCUGGUCGGACAUCAGGAGGUUAGUGCAAUGGCAUAAGCCAGCUUGACUGCGAGCGUGACGGCGCGAGCAGGUGCGAAAGCAGGUCAUAGUGAUCCGGUGGUUCUGAAUGGAAGGGCCAUCGCUCAACGGAUAAAAGGUACUCCGGGGAUAACAGGCUGAUACCGCCCAAGAGUUCAUAUCGACGGCGGUGUUUGGCACCUCGAUGUCGGCUCAUCACAUCCUGGGGCUGAAGUAGGUCCCAAGGGUAUGGCUGUUCGCCAUUUAAAGUGGUACGCGAGCUGGGUUUAGAACGUCGUGAGACAGUUCGGUCCCUAUCUGCCGUGGGCGCUGGAGAACUGAGGGGGGCUGCUCCUAGUACGAGAGGACCGGAGUGGACGCAUCACUGGUGUUCGGGUUGUCAUGCCAAUGGCACUGCCCGGUAGCUAAAUGCGGAAGAGAUAAGUGCUGAAAGCAUCUAAGCACGAAACUUGCCCCGAGAUGAGUUCU
rnacentral:rRNA from 3 species